AGUGAAUGCUGGCGGUAGGCCUAACACAUGCAAGUCGAACGGCAGCACAGUAAGAGCUUGCUCUUACGGGUGGCGAGUGGCGGACGGGUGAGGAAUACAUCGGAAUCUACUUUUUCGUGGGGGAUAACGUAGGGAAACUUACGCUAAUACCGCAUACGACCUACGGGUGAAAGCAGGGGAUCUUCUGACCUUGCGCGAUUGAAUGAGCCGAUGUCGGAUUAGCUAGUUGGCGGGGUAAAGGCCCACCAAGGCGACGAUCCGUAGCUGGUCUGAGAGGAUGAUCAGCCACACUGGAACUGAGACACGGUCCCGACUCCUACGGGAGGACGCAGUGGGGAAUAUUGGACAAUGGGCGAAAGCCUGAUCCAGCAAUACCGCGUGGGUGAAGAAGGCCUUCGGGUUGUAAAGCCCUUUUGUUGGGAAAGAAAAGCAGCAGGUUAAUACCCCGCUGUUCUGACGGUACCCAAAGAAUAAGCACCGGCUAACUUCGUG
rnacentral:rRNA from 1 species